AGCAAGACUCUGUCUCAAAAAAAAAAAAGUAACUUUUCUUUUCCACAUUUCAUUCACCAUGUGAAAGGCUGUGGCCCUGGUGUUCCAGGAGCCCCUUGUCUGGAGCAGCUGCUGCUCAUGAACAGGCAGAUUCUCUGCACAGCAGCCCUCAUUUCUAGAGGGAAGCCUUGUCAUUGCUGUGAAGGAAAAUGUUUAAUGCUCAAACCAGGGGCAACUUAGUCUUUUCCAGAGUUGGCCUUUCUGAGAUACUGUAAUUAAAUUGAAGAGGGGAUAUGGAAAAGGAAAGUGCUAUAAAUUGAAUGACACAGUUACAGAAGACUUAGACCUAAAUGACGAGCCCUGGAGUGUGAAUGCUUUGGCAAAGAAAAUAGAGCAAAAGUUUAUGAUCAAGGUAAGGAUUUACAAACGGAUAGUUUCCGUUAGUUUUGGUUUUUAAUUUAGUUUUCUAUAAAACUGGAAGUAGGAUUCUUUAAAUUGAAAAUGGAAUGGACUUUAUUUUUUCUAGUACUGCUGCUCUAGCUGUAGAACCAUGAGUCGGUGGGGGAUGAAAUGAAUAUCAAAGAGAAACUAAUAAAGAAAGAAAUCUAACCUUAAAAGUAGUUUCAGAAGAAGUA